rnacentral:rRNA from 1 species
AUACGUAGGGGGCAAGCGUUAUCCGGAUUUACUGGGUGUAAAGGGAGCGUAGACGGUUUGGCAAGUCUGAUGUGAAAGCCCGGGGCUCAACCGCGGGACUGCAUUGGAAACUGUCAGACUUGAGUGCAGGAGAGGUAAGUGGAAUUCCUAGUGUAGCGGUGAAAUGCGUAGAUAUUAGGAGGAACACCGGUGGCGAAGGCGGCUUCCGGGACUGUAAGUGACGUUGAGGCUCGAAAGGGUGGGGCGAAAACAGGAUUAGAUACCCUGGUAGUCCACGCCGUAAACGAUGAAUGCUAGGUGUCGGGGGGCAAAGCCUUUCGGUGCCGCCGCUAACGCAUUAAGCAUUCCACCUGGGGAGUACGUUCGCAAGAAUGAAACUCAAAUGAAUUGACGGGG